rnacentral:lncRNA from 1 species
AUACAUUGAUAAUGGCUGAACGUCAGAAGAGACAAAGAUUGCAUUUGCAUAUCUCCACCCAUCCUGUGUCCUCCUGACCAAAGAAUCUACGGCUGCCAACGUAGAAGCCCUUAGCGAUCAUCACCCCACAGAUUUGUCCUCAAAACCCUUGGCUCCAAACAGGAGGGACUCGUCCAGGCAGUGUUGGAAGUAAUGACAUCUGUAUUGGAGAACACUUGCGUGCAAAGUUGGACUUCUUUCUCAGAGCUCUGCCUUUGUCUUUGUUCCCCAAAAGACCCAGGAAAAUCCGCCAUGACCUCUGAUGAACUAAAGCUGGCCGUGCUCAGAUCCCUGGAUGUGCUAUUGCACUCUGCCUACGAUGUUCUUCCACCAAUGUUUGCUUCUGAUGAGGACAUGGAUGUUCCUGCAGAGAAACAGGAGCUUUCUCUUCAUAUCCAGAUUGCAAAAGACGUGAUGGAGAGAUGCAUCCACCUGCUCUCUGACCCCAACCUGGGAAUCCGACUCAAGGUGUCGUGUGGUGAUUUCCUGAGGACACGCGUGUCUGAAGAGGUUCUGUAUGAGUGGAGGCGGAUCUGGAUCGGGUGA